rnacentral:rRNA from 1 species
CCUACGGGGGGCAGCAGUAGGGAAUCUUCGGCAAUGGACGAAAGUCUGACCGAGCAACGCCGCGUGAGUGAAGAAGGUUUUCGGAUCGUAAAACUCUGUUGUUAGAGAAGAACGUUGUGUAGAGUGGAAAAUUACACAAGUGACGGUAUCUAACCAGAAAGGGACGGCUAACUACGUGCCAGCAGCCGCGGUAAUACGUAGGUCCCGAGCGUUGUCCGGAUUUAUUGGGCGUAAAGCGAGCGCAGGUGGUUUAAUAAGUCUGAUGUAAAAGGCAGUGGCUCAACCAUUGUGUGCAUUGGAAACUGUUAGACUUGAGUGCAGUAGAGGAGAGUGGAAUUCCAUGUGUAGCGGUGAAAUGCGUAGAUAUAUGGAGGAACACCGGUGGCGAAAGCGGCUCUCUGGACUGUAACUGACACUGAGGCUCGAAAGCGUGGGUAGCA